AAAAAAGUAUUUGGUUGGAGUUCUGAGCUGGUUUAAAAUGCACUGCUGAGAUGGCUAACAGAACAAACUCCUCUGAGUAUUUUUGGUCGUAUGAAUAUUAUUGGGAUUAUAUAGAUCCAAUUCCAGUAGAUGGAAGCAAGUUGGAGGUUAAUAAAUAUUCUAUUGUCAUAGCCUUUUGGGUUGGGCUUGCUGCGUUUGUGACGUUUCUUUUCCUUAUUUUACUGUAUAUGUCCCGCUCUGGAUCAACUCCAGUAAAACAGGUGAUUGUAGGGAACCAGGUGGAAGAAAGAAGUUCCAACAGUGAACAGCUUCACUGCAAUGAUCUCAGCAGUCCAUACGCAGAUGUGGUUGCUUCUGAAACGUCUACCUCCCUUUCAGAUGAAACUGGCAUUCAGGGAAGGAUCUGAGCCCAAGUUAAAACUGAAAGAGGUGACACAAACCCAGCAGUACAUUCCUCCUGACCGCAGAGAAAAGCUCAGUGCUGUGACUGCCUAUGAAACGCUGACGCCACAAACCUGAAUUAGUUCAGAAGAAGAAAGAGAAAAAUGUCUUUCAACAAUGGCCAAACGUGAAAAGUCCUGGAUGCAUAAAAGGAAUUUGCAAUGGCCGCAUUUGAGACACGUUGCUGGCGUUGCCUGCUAGAAGAGCAAUUUAGAUCCUGAUGAUGAUGACUGUAGAAUUUCUCUUACCUUCUUUAUGUAAGGAUUCAGACUCAAAUUCCUCUCUGUUACACGGUGCAAAAGGUGUGCUGCCGGUUGAGUGGGUCUCAUUAAGACUCAUUUGGCUGAGAGCUGAUAUUUACUCCUUCAGUAGAAAGUCUAUACCAGUUACACCCCGAGUCCUUCAGCUUUGCUCACCUGAGUGCACACUGACUCCUGUUGUCCUCGGGGCAGGGGGUCUGUGCAGCACCAGUUUUCACUGGGUUGUCUUGCUGUGAAAGAAAGCAGCAUCCCAUUCAUCUUACUCAACCGGCAGCGUAACCAAGAUUGUCUGUAUCUAUCAUGAGACCCACAAGUCAUCUAUUUCUGGCUCUGUCUCAGGUCACGCUCUCAUCAGCUGCAUCUUAGUGACACCUCCACUUGGUCACCUGCUGAAAAAUAAGCAACAAUGUCAACUGCAACAUCAACAAUAAAACUGUGCUUCUAGAAGGGUUACAACUUACUUCGCUAAAGCUUAAAGCUCAGCAGUUCCCUCAAGGAUAGAACAUACUUUUUAUUUACUUUUCUAUUGCAAGAAAGUAUUUGGGUCACUUAAAAUUUAUAAAAACACUCUUUACCUAGAACAGCCUUUAAAAAGCUAAUGGCAGCACUAUCUCAAGUGAGUGUCUUACUGAAUCAACUCACUAGUUUUACCAGCUGCCCAGAAAUACAGUUUUGCUUUCUUUUUGAAAUGGUAGGUGGAAAAGAAACUGUUAAUAUUGAACAGUCUUGAAAUGGUACCUGGCAGAUACCCAGGCAUUACUAAAAAGAUAAGUCUGUUUAUCAUAUUUUGUAUCAAAGAGAAAUGCUGGCAAAGCCACAAAAGCAACGUCGCAUUUCUGCAUGAGUUGCCUGCUUUUAGCUGGGGCUGACAAACAGUCCAACAGAAGCUACAGCCCUCCUUGAGGGUCACAGCAGCUUUUCAGUGAGGUGGAGAGGAUGGGUUUAGGUUUAGCUCAGCUGGAGCAGAGUCAGAAGGGCCACUCACACUCCUUCCCUCUUCAGUGGCCUCUGCUCUCUCCAAUUCUCCUCACCUGUGGAGCUCCACCAGACCCAGGCAGAACCAGGCAAAGGUCCACAAGAAGGUGAAGAACCCUUAGAGCUCCAGUAAGCACAAAAGUGGGACUGCAGAGUCAGGCCCAGGAAGGCAGUGAGGGCUGGAAUGGACGUGAGAGCGCACAGGUAGUUGGUGGGCUGAGGACAACACAAAAUUCAUUUGAAACUUCAGAAGAAGCUUAGAAAUUCCAUGUCCCCAAGCAGGCAGCAGAACCUCCUACAGCCAAGCGCUGCCAGAGCAGCCUUAUGCUGCGUGCAGGGAGUGUGGGC